rnacentral:lncRNA from 1 species
AUCUACUAUGGUGUAUCAUCCCCUCAUCUUCAGAGAAAAUUCCAACACAGUUUACAGGUAUCACCACCUGAGCACGUGACACUUUCGCAAGCUCAAACCUCCACAUCGUGUGUGUACCCAUCAGCCACCAAGGUAACCUGAAGCCGCCUCCGGCAAGGAUUAGAGACAAGCCAUACCGCUAACGGUCAGCCACGUAGCACACCUGAUCUAGACGAGACUCCCCCGUGCCCUGGCGAAUCAGAACCGCAUGCCUUCCGUCAACAAAAGACAUGUAGCAGCAAGCAAGGGUUGUCGAAGUUGUGGCCACCCGC